AGUGAACGCUGGCGGUAGGCCCAACACAUGCAAGUCGAACGGCAGCACAGGAGAGCUUGCUCUCUGGGUGGCGAGUGGCGGACGGGUGAGGAAUACAUCGGAAUCUACUUUUUCGUGGGGGAUAACGUAGGGAAACUUACGCUAAUACCGCAUACGACCUACGGGUGAAAGCAGGGGAUCUUCGGACCUCGCGCGAUUGAAUGAGCCGAUGUCGGAUUAGCUAGUUGGCGGGGUAAAGGCCCACCAAGGCGACGAUCCGUAGCUGGUCUGAGAGGAUGAUCAGCCACACUGGAACUGAGACACGGUCCAGACUCCUACGGGAGGCAGCAGUGGGGAAUAUUGGACAAUGGGCGCAAGCCUGAUCCAGCCAUACCGCGUGGGUGAAGAAGGCCUUCGGGUUGUAAAGCCCUUUUGUUGGGAAAGAAAUCCAGCUGGUUAAUACCCGGUUGGGAUGACGGUACCCAAAGAAUAAGCACCGGCUAACUUCGUGCCAGCCGCCGCGGUAA
rnacentral:rRNA from 1 species